UAUACCUGGGUAGUGAGUUUCGGUGCAGACUCUCCCUUCCACUAAUCUAGAAUUAGGGGAGAAGAUGAAAGUCAGUGUGUCUUAAUGUAUUUAAAGAAGGAAAAUUCUCUGAUUUAAAAUGGCAUCUUCAGUAAUUCCACUGAAGAAGCUGUUGUUGCCAUGGUGACCAAAGUCCAGUGAAUAAGGUUCUGUCAUCUUUUUCCUAUUUCCCACCCCUCUGUACAUUUCUUAGCAAUUCUCCAUUGCAUUCAUUUAUGAGUAUCUCAAGGCCACUCUUCUGCCUAAUGAAAAUAUUCCUACUUCCCAGGAGAGGAUAUCUCUCUGUCAAGUAAAACCAAACCCAGAAAUGGUAGGGUACAUUGGAUCGUCGAGACCUACCUCCUCCAGGCAAAUGGAGAAUCUGCAGGUGUGCUCCAUUUUAUGUUCCCAGGUCUGGCAAUCUCGAUCAUUGGCUAGAUGCACCAUGCAGGGGAUCUCACAGCCAAAGGAGAUUUGCUUCAGCUUAAAAUUCAUAUGGUGCCAUAACAAUGCCAUUAAGUUGCUCUGGAUUUUUGGAAAACCUCUCCUUGGCGUUUCAUCUUCUUGCCAGCUACAGAUCUUAUUGUGGCUCCUUGACCACUAGGACUUGGUAUGACAGGACUACAUGUGGCCACAGAGUAAAGGGAAGACGUAGGGUAGACAUGAACAGUGAUGAAACUGUGAAAGCUGUGAUCUCAAAGUUGGAUGGUCCGUCCACAGUGACCCCAAACUUCCCUGCUGGUGGUGGCACAGGAGUGAUAAGGAAGACCUUCAAGCAGGCACCAAGUUUUCCAGGGCUGUAUCAGCUGAGGCUUUCUGGCUGAUUCUCCGCCUCCCAUUUCAAUUCUGCUCAAAAUCCAUCUCCGCCAACUCUAUCCACAGAGUGGAAAGUGUGGAAAAUGGUUGGCCUGAACUUACCCAGGAAAUAAGCUGUGAGUGACUGAUCUAUGUUAUCCUGAGUCCUCCUCAGAGCUACAACCCAGUAACCAGCUGGGAGCAGAGCAGCAACACCAGGUUGCUGCAUCUUGGCAAUCAGAGUGGAAGAGCAACUUCUCCUUCCUGCUACCGAAUUCAUUAUUGCCUAUUUAAUCACUUCUUCAUUGAUUAAUCCAAAGUGUUGGAAAUGUGUUUUGUCUGUCACGUAGAAUUCCAUAAAGAAUUUCUGUGCACAUGUUGUUUUUUGUUCAGUCAUCAUCCCAAGCACUGCAGGGUAUGACGUAUCUUCUCUGUUUCAUAAGUGAGGAAAUGAAGCCCUUUAGAGAUUAAGGGAUUUGUCUAGUCUGAGGUCACACAGCUGGUAGAGUAGUAGAACCAGAACUAGAAACCUCACUCCACGACUCAUACGUCUCUAAGUACCCCACGUGACUUCUUCCUAACACAGACAUGAAAGCUUCCCAAAGCCAGGUGACCUGAGCAAGUCCUCAUCUUUGUCUGAAAUUCCGCUUUCUUUAAUGGCUAUGCCCCUUCUUGCUGCUAUUUGACCUAAUUUCCUCUGGCUCAGGUCUCAGUGGAGGAAAAUAAAACCCUUUGGGACAAGAAAGCAUGAAAUUCCUUUUGUACCCCCCAGGUAUGGGUCACCAGCUGCUUCCCUGACCCCAUAAACUUUGACUCCUGGAGAGCUUAGAGAGGUCAGGCCAGCCUGGGGAGCCUGGAAAAGUGAGGAACUGCUGCUGGAGGUCUGUUUUUCUUUGCAAGAGGUCCCUGGGACCAUGGAGCCUCUGCGGUAUUUUGCAUAAAUUCAACAUCUCCUCAUGCAUGAGAACAUUUUCCUGGACUCCUAUAAUUGGGGGAGAGGGGUAUGCUGGGGAUAGACCCAGGGCUUCAUGCAGGCUAGUCAAGUACUCUAUCAGUGAGCCACUGCCCUAUCCUACCCUAGUCUUCUCUUUGAGGUAAACAUGUUAACAACAUUGCUGGCCUGACCCAAGUCCUGGCAUCAAUGGGGGGCUGUGUGGUGAGAGAGAGAGGCUCUGUCUUUUCCCUGAAACAGAAUUGGCAUCCAGAAAUGUGCCAAACCCGCAAUCAAGGUCAUCAGCUCCCUGCAACCCACUGCUAGAUCAACUGCAAGGAGGAAUAGGGAGAAAUUAUGAGUGACUGUGUGUGUAACUUCAUCAGCUUCCUACACCUCUCCAACAUACAAUUUGCUCUUUGGCUCAAAAGUUAUUGAGUUCUAGGCUCCAGGUUGUCCUGUAGGGUAUUGUCUUAAUCAUUUUUCUUGUUGGUGAGGCAAAAUAUUUGACACUCAAAGUUGAAGGAGGGAAGGUUUACGUAGUUCAGUUUGUAGAGGUUUCUAUCUGUAGUCAGCUGGCUCCAAGACAGUCUGACACCACAGAUAGGCAUUGCAAAGGGAAAACAGUUCAUGGCAGCAGGACAACCACAGCUCUGUGUAUCCCUUAUAUCUUAUCUAGGCUACAUAGGGUGGGUAGCACUCAUACCCUCAAUCCUAGUGCUGUUGAUCCUAGCAUUGCACCAUGAAUCAAUUCCAGUGUCAUACAUUCCAGAUCUACCCACCUCUGAAAAAGCUCUGUCUAUGACCACAUGAAGCUUUGCAAGGAUCUCUAGACAUAAGCCAUAACAGGAGGUUGUGGGUUGUGGGGACUGACUGAGGGGGGUUGAGAGGCAUCCGAGGAUGGACUGCAAGCUUGUGGCCACCAGGGUGCUGCUGGUGCAUGACAAUCCUGAUUGGCAGGCAGUCCUGAAGCAGGGGAGGGUGAGUCAAUGCUCAGGUCAAAGCCUGGACCAGUUGCUAUGGCAACCACUUUCCACACUGAGGAGAACAGGUAGGCCUGGUCUACACCAGCCAGGAGGAAGGUGGCUCCGGAGUUGGGCUAUGUGACCAGCACUUUCUGUUUCCUUUCCACCUUUGUCCUGGAUUGCCCCAGUCCGACCAAGCUCAGCAGUGAGGUGUGGGCAGGAGACUUCUCCCCUCUAACCCAAAUUUGAUAAUUACUGGGAACUUAUUGAGAAUAUUUUAGUAGUAUUUAAAAUGCCGGCUUUGAAAAUAAGACUCAGUUGUAUUCAUUUUAAAUGCAGGGCAAAGUUCUUAAUAUGCAUCUGGAUGAAAGAGAAAAUGUUCCCUGUCUUCUCUAUCUAAAGCCAAACAAAUAUCUUUCCUGCAGUUGUUUCUCUCUCUCUCUCUCUGGUUGACUGGCUCUUUCCCUCUUUCUCUCUCCUCUGUCUGUCAUAAGAUAUGAAGUGGAAAAAGAAAAACCUCACUUGUUCAAAUCAAUUGAAUGCAGCUGGUUGAAAGACAGGUUGCAUUGCCAAUAAGAAACAGUAACUGAGCAGGCCAGCGCCAAAGGUACAGCUCAGUGGUAACAUUUGCCUACUAGACCCAAGGCCCUAAGUUUGAUCACCAGGACUUCAAAGAAACAAACCAAAACUCUAAAGCCAGCAGCAAACUUGUAGCUAAUGAAAUUUGAUAUUCUGAGGCUGAGUUCAGUAAGAGUGAGGCUGGUUCAGGCACUUUUCUCCUCAGCCAAGGAGUUUUGCUGCCAACUAGAUGUUGCCCUUUCCUGGGUUCUAGGAUCUAAAUCCUAGCUGCCCCUGUGGUAGAGAAAGAAUACCAGGAUGCUGCCAUGUAUGCCAAAGGUGCUGACUCACCCCCCUCCCCAGCAGGGCCCAACUCUGAUCAGGCCACAGUUGGAAAGCCUGAUGUCCCGCUGUGCUGCCACUCUGAGCACAACUAACUGGCAGCUGUAUUCUUACCCAGGCAAGGUACCUCUCCUCUCUGUGCCAAUGAUUGACAGUCAUUCAACAUUCAACAAGCAUUUUUUGAACAUUUUGUAUGCAUCUAUGAAUUCUAAGAACUCACAUUCUAGAGAAGGAGACACAGCCAUAUGCAAUUUAAUACUGUGCAGAAAUACAAAGGAAGAGGCAGCCAGUCCAAGAAAAAGCUUCCAAGAAAAGGUGUUACCUGACAUGAAUUUUCAAGAUGGAAGGAAAAACAUUCCAGCAAAAAAGCAGAGGUACAGGGAUAAGCAACACCAUGCAGUGCUGUUACUGUGGUGCAUUUUUUAAGUACAAAAAACAGCCCCUUGAGAAUAACUGUGCCUCUUGAAGAAUAAGUAUCAUGUUUAUAGCCUGGUACAAUGUACAUGUUUGGAAUCCCACACUCUGAGAGGCUGAGGCUGGUGAUCUCAAGUUUGAACCCAACCUGGGCAACUCAGUGACUUAGCAAGACCUUGUCCAAAAAUGAAAAACAAACAUGGGUUGGGAAUGUAGCUCAGAGUGAAUCCUGUCUGUACUCAUGGUUUUGGCAUCUGUGGAUUUGAUCAAUCGCAAGUCAAAAAUAUUUGGGAAAAAUACUGCACUUUCACUGAAAAUAUACAAACUUGUUUCUUGUUGUUAGUCACUAAAUAAUAUAGAGUACAACUAUUUAAAAAACAUCCACGUUGUAUUUGGUAUUGCAGAUAAUACAUAGGUAAUUUUCAAAUAUAUAGGAGGAUGCACAUAGGUUCCAUGCCAACACUAUACUAUUUGACAAAAAGGGUUUGUAAUUUUCAAAUAUAUAGGAGGAUGCACAUAGGUUCCAUGCCAACACUAUACCAUUUAACAAAAAGGGUUUGAGCAUUCAUGGAGUUUGGUAUCUGCAGGUGGUCCCAGAUACUGAUGUACCUCACAUAUAGAUACCAUAUUGACCUCACAUAUAGACACAUAUUGACUGCUUCCAAAUUAUCUCCUAUACUGGAAAGCUGUUAGGGGGAAAUCAUUCACCCUGACCAUGUACACACACUCAUCCUGGUAACUUGUCUCCUUGUCCUCCUUGAUUGAUCUCCUGGGAACUUGAUUUGCCCAUUGUAGUGGGCUGUUGAAAGUGGAGACUGAUUACAUGUGUGGGGCUGAAGCAAGACCAGCCCUGAAAACACAGAGUUCAAAACAAGACAUAAACAAGUUGUUCCAGCACCAAGAAGGCAGGGGGGCCCAGGCCAGCCAGGCAAACAAAUUGCUAGCCCAUGGCAUUGAAAUUGACAUUCUUCUUUGGAGUCUAUAAAUAAAUGUGCUACAGUAGUUACAUAGUUCCUGCUCUCCCAUCAGGAGAGUGAGGGCUUCAGCUGCCCCAAGCUUUGUCUCCUUUACUUUUCCAUCCCCUCACCAUCCUUCUCCCCGAGAACAUCUAGAGCUGCAGCCAGUUGCUGCAGCCCUGGCGUGCAGGUCACUUGCUCCUGCUCCUACUGACCUUGUCUCUUUGACUGCCCAGGUUGCUGGUUUUCUGUGUUACUAGUGCCCCCUGCAGGCCCUGCUACUUGCUAAGUCUCACCAACUCACUGAGAGCUGUAGGUUUGGCUGAUGGCUCCGUUAGUGAGCUUCAGAGAGCCACACUACAGUGACGCUAAGUACGUAGUUUGCUCCAAUGACUCAACAUCCACUGCAGAGGCCGUCAGGGGGCUCAGGAUACCCUAGCCCCUGUUUUUCCCUGCUGUGUACGGCAUUCUAAAAAUUGCUCUUCUAUAUGAUUAUAACUUGGCAAUAUAUGACUUAAAAAGAAAAAAGAAAA